rnacentral:rRNA from 1 species
UACGAGUGCCCCAAGCGUUAUCCGGAAUCAUUGGGCGUAAAGGGUGUGUAGGUGGCGAUGUUAGUCUUCUGUCAAAUUCUUCGGCUUAACCGGGGGUCCGCAGGGGAAACGGCAUUGCUCGAGGAUGCGAGGGGUGAAUGGAACUCAUGGAGUAGGGGUGAAAUCCGUUGAUAUCAUGGGGAACACCAAAAGCGAAGGCAAUUCACUGGCGCAUUCCUGACACUGAAACACGAAAGCGUGGGUAGCGAACGGG